rnacentral:rRNA from 1 species
UACGGAGGGGACUAGCGUUGUUCGGAAUUACUGGGCGUAAAGCGCACGUAGGCGGCUUACUAAGUCAGGGGUGAAAUCCUGGAGCUCAACUCCAGAACUGCCUUUGAUACUGGUGAGCUUGAGUCCGGAAGAGGUGAGUGGAACUGCGAGUGUAGAGGUGAAAUUCGUAGAUAUUCGCAAGAACACCAGUGGCGAAGGCGGCUCACUGGUCCGGUACUGACGCUGAGGUGCGAAAGCGUGGGGAGCAAACAGG